UUUUUUUUUUAAUUCUUUAUUUUUGUUGUGCAUAAUAUAACAAAAUGCACUGCCACAAAGCAGGAGCAAGCACAAUAAGAUCAACAGAGCAAGACAUAAGCAUGGCAUUAAAAUACCAGCACUUUUUUUAUUUUUUAAAGAAACAUCAAAAUUUAGGCUAGUAUACUGCACAACUGUAGAAAAAGGGAUGCUAUACUGUAUAAUGUAGUCACAAUGUAUUAGUACAUAAGCUAUACUGCACUGUCAAGUGAGUUAUCACAGCUAGUUAACGGUAUAUAAGAAAGGUGCAACAUAAACAAUGACCUCUCAGUUAUGCAUUGCUAAACAACAUGAGGGAAUCCACCAGGAGACAUCUAGAAUAUAUGCCAGUGGUAAAUGGCAGGCCACUGUGAGACUACAAAAUUAUGCUGUGUUAGCGAAGUGAUAAAAACAAAAAGGUAGGCAUCUGAUAGCAAACGGUAAAAGAAAACUAACACUCUAGCAUAGAACCACUGCCAGGUACAUGCUUAAUGGUAAAUAAUGUCAACCGUUCAUCCAAUGCCGCAAGCAUGCCUCAACUGGGAACCGGUACUGCAGUUUUCCAUGAGGUGCCCGGUGUCACUGCUCCAGUAUCCUCUUGGAUUUAAGAGACCUGUCAGACCACGGAGAUUUAUAAAGCAUUGUUCCAGCCCCUCUGCUUCCCAUGCCAGCCCAACUGACGAGCCGAUGCCUGGUAGCAGCUGGACCCUCCAGCUCCUGUGGCAUAGUUGGCUUCUCAAUUGUUCUCCAUUUUGCAUGUAGAUUCCCCAGGGUGUGGACGGCUGACGGGCGUUGUGUCUAUGGUGGCUCUCAGCCCAGAAAGUUAGCAUUGCGCCGGGACACUGGCAGGGGCCUUCUCUGCUAAAGGUACGGUGAGUAACAGUGCUUCCCAACGGGACUCCAAUCAACUCCAGAAAGCUACACAAACCGCAUCAAGUGUUGCUUGGAAUCUGACUACCCAUUUGCCAGUGGGGAGAUUCGUCGUUGUGGUGGCCAUUUUAACUGCGCCACACGGUUUUGCAGAAUUAGUCACAGUGGUUGGGAACCAGGAUAACCCCAACCGAUCCAGAGGGGGGGCAAGCGAAGCAGGCAAUUCACGCUUUGUAUUCGCCAGCAGGUCUAGACUGGGAGAUCGGCCGUUUCUCCUUUCUAGGGACCACUUCAGACGGUAUAGUUUUGAAGCGUAAAUAUCUGGAAGUGAGGCUCCAAACAGGCACAUCAAAGUUCCAUUGCAUACAGGAAUAGGUUAGAAAGUGUUUAGGAGUUGUUUGAAAAGUUAAUCCCAUUUCAAAAGUUGAUUUUGCAGGUUUUUUGUGAAGAGCUUACAAUCAACAUGUCCGGCUGCCAUGCUGGUCAGGCC